rnacentral:pre_miRNA from 1 species
UUUAUACUUCCUCCGUCCGAAAAUACUUGUCAUCAAAAUGGACAAAAAGGGAUGUAUCUAGAACUAAAAUACAUCUAGAUACAUCCCCUUUUAUUCAUUUUGAUGACAAGUAUUUCCGGACGGAGGGAGUACCUC